UAAUCAGUUAUCGUUUAUUUGAUAGUACCCUCUACUUGGAUACCUGUGGCAAUUCUAGAGCUAAUACAUGCUAAAAACCUCGACUUCGGAAGGGGUGUAUUUAUUAGAUAAAAAACCAAUGCCCUCCGGGGCUCCAUGGUGAAUCAUAAUAACUUAACGAAUCGCAUGGCCUUGCGCCGGCGAUGGUUCAUUCAAAUUUCUGCCCUAUCAACUUUCGAUGGUAGGAUAGUGGCCUACCAUGGUUUCUACGGGUAACGGGGAAUUAGGGUUCGAUUCCGGAGAGGGAGCCUGAGAAACGGCUACCACAUCCAAGGAAGGCAGCAGGCGCGCAAAUUACCCAAUCCCGACACGGGGAGGUAGUGACAAUAAAUACUGAUGUGGAGCUCUUUUGGGUUUCGCAAUUGGAAUGAGUACAAUUUAAAUCCCUUAACGAGGAACAAUUGGAGGGCAAGUCUGGUGCCAGCAGCCGCGGUAAUUCCAGCUCCAAUAGCGUAUAUUAAAGUUGUUGCAGUUAAAAAGCUCGUAGUUGAAACUUGGGUUUGGUUGAUCGGUCCGCCUCACCGCGUGCACUGGUUCGACCGAACCUUUCCUUGUGGGGAGUCGCAUGCCCUUAAUUGGGUGUGUCGAGGAACCACGACUUUUACUUUGAAAAAAUUAGAGUGUUCAAAGCAGGCUUAAGCUCGGAUACAUUAGCAUGGAAUAAUAGAAUAGGACGUUGGUUCUAUUUUGUUGGUUUCUAGGACCGCCGUA
rnacentral:rRNA from 1 species